CUUGAAAAAGAAGAUCAGGAAGAACUUCGAAGAAGCUUUCUUGAUGGAGGGGAGCGGCAGACGGGUGAGUAACGCGUGGGAACGUACCCUUUUCUACGGAAUAACGCAUGGAAACGUGUGCUAAUACCGUAUACGCCCUAUGGGGGAAAGAUUUAUCGGAGAAGGAUCGGCCCGCGUUGGAUUAGCUAGUUGGUGGGGUAAAGGCCUACCAAGGCGACGAUCCAUAGCUGGUCUGAGAGAAUGAUCAGCCACAUUGGGAGUGAAACACGGCCCAAACUCCUACGGGAGGCAGCAGUGGGGAAUAUUGGAGAAUGGUCGCAAGCCUGAUCCAGCCAUGCCGCGUGAGUGAUGAAGGCCUUAGGGUUGUAAAGCUCUUUCACCGGAGAAGAUAAUGACGGUAUCCGGAGAAGAAGCCCCGGCUAACUUCGUGCCAGCAGCCGCAGUAAAAC
rnacentral:rRNA from 1 species